rnacentral:rRNA from 1 species
CCUACGGGUGGCAGCAGUGAGGAAUAUUGGUCAAUGGCCGGAAGGCUGAACCAGCCAAGCCGCGUGAGGGAGGAAGGCGCAGAGCGUCGCAGACCUCUUUUGCCGGGGGACAAAAGGCCGGACUCGUCCGGUCCUGAGGGUACCCGGAGAAAAAGCAUCGGCUAACUCCGUGCCAGCAGCCGCGGUAAUACGGAGGAUGCGAGCGUUAUCCGGAUUCAUUGGGUUUAAAGGGUGCGCAGGCGGGCCUUUAAGCCGGCGGUGAAAUCGCGGGGCUCAACCCCGCCGGGCCGUCGGAACUGGGGGCCUUGAGUGGGCGAGAAGAAGGCGGAAUGCGUGGUGUAGCGGUGAAAUGCAUAGAUAUCACGCAGAACCCCGAUUGCGAAGGCAGCCUUCCGGCGCCCUACUGACGCUGAGGCACGAAAGUGCGGGGAUCGAACAGGAUUAGAUACCCUUGUAGUC